CAGCCGCCGCGGGAAUACGAGGGGGGCAAGCGUUGUUCGGAAUUAUUGGGCGUAAAGGGUGCGUAGGCGGUUUGGCAAGUUUGGUGUGAAAUCUUCGGGCUCAACUCGAAGUCUGCAUCGAAAACUGCCGGGCUUGAGUAUGGGAGAGGUGAGUGGAAUUUCCGGUGUAGCGGUGAAAUGCGUAGAUAUCGGAAGGAACACCUGUGGCGAAAGCGGCUCACUGGACCAUAACUGACGCUGAUGCACGAAAGCUAGGGGAGCAAACAUGAUUAGAUACCCCCGUAGUCCCUGUCUCUUAUAA
rnacentral:rRNA from 1 species